rnacentral:rRNA from 1 species
AACGAACGCUGGCGGCAUGCCUAACACAUGCAAGUCGAACGAGACCUUCGGGUCUAGUGGCGCACGGGUGCGUAACGCGUGGGAACCUGCCUUUAGGUUCGGAAUAACUCAGAGAAAUUUGAGCUAAUACCGGAUAAUGUCUUCGGACCAAAGAUUUAUCGCCUUUAGAUGGGCCCGCGUUGGAUUAGCUAGUUGGUGGGGUAAAGGCCUACCAAGGCGACGAUCCAUAGCUGGUCUGAGAGGAUGAUCAGCCACACUGGGACUGAGACACGGCCCAGACUCCUACGGAGGCAGCAGUGGGGAAUAAUUGGACAAUGGGCGAAAGCCUGAUCCAGCAAUGCCGCGUCGAGUGAUGAAGG